rnacentral:rRNA from 1 species
UACAGAGGUCUCAAGCGUUGUUCGGAUUCAUUGGGCGUAAAGGGUGCGUAGGCGGCGCGGUAAGUCGGGUGUGAAAUCUUGGAGCUUAACUCCGAAACUGCAUUCGAUACUGCCGUGCUUGAGGACUGGAGAGGAGACUGGAAUUUACGGUGUAGCGGUGAAAUGCGUAGAUAUCGUAAGGAAGACCAGUGGCGAAGGCGGGUCUCUGGACAGUUCCUGACGCUGAGGAGCGAAAGCGUGGGGAGCGAACCGG